rnacentral:rRNA from 1 species
GUCCUGGUGACAACAGCGCGGCGGAACCACCUCUUCCCAUUCCGAACAGAGAAGUGAAACGCGGUGUCGACGAUGAUACUCGACCCUCGAUGGUCGGGGAAAGUAGUUAUCGCCGGGACAA